rnacentral:rRNA from 1 species
GAUGAACGCUGACAGAAUGCUUAACACAUGCAAGUCAACUUGAACUUCGGUUUGGGUGGCGGACGGGUGAGUAACGCGUAAAGAACUUGCCUCACAGAUAGGGACAACAUUUGGAAACGAAUGCUAAUACCUGAUAUUAUGAUUUUAGGGCAUCCUAGGAUUAUGAAAGCUAUAUGCGCUGUGAGAGAGCUUUGCGUCCCAUUAGCUAGUUGGAGAGGUAACGGCUCACCAAGGCGAUGAUGGGUAGCCGGCCUGGGAGGGUGAUCGGCCACAAGGGGACUGAGACACGGCCCUUACUCCUACGGGAGGCAGCAGUGGGGAAUAUUGGACAAUGGACCAAGAGUCUGAUCCAGCAAUUCUGUGUGCACGAUGAAGUUUUUCGGAAUGUAAAGUGCUUUCAGUUGGGAAGAAAAAAAUGACGGUACCAACAGAAGAAGUGACGGCUAAAUACGUG